AAAAAUAAUUAGUUUACGCAUAUGACAUUUACCAUUAUAUUUAUUUAUAGAAACAUAAGUGAACGAGUCUAAAGCUUUCACGUAUUAGAUGAGCAAGAAAAAUGGAAAUUUUUCAAAAUUAGAUUCGGUUAAAGCGGAACAUAAUAAAGUGAAUUGCUUAAAUUAGCUAUUUUAGCUAUAUAUAUAUAUAUUCAUGUUACCAAAACAGAAAAAUACAUCACCUUUCCUUUUAGAGUUUAAAAUCAUUAUCAAUUCACUUCUGUCAUAUACGAUGAAGAAAACCCCUCAACUCUCGUUUACAGUCUUUACUAUCUUCAUCAUUCUUGUGUUAGGAACGAUGGCAAAUGCAAAAGAAAAGGGCAAAUUGUGUGAUCAAAUACAACUCCCUGUAAACAAAGAUGGGUUGUGUGUUGAUUCUGAAUGCCAAAAUAAGUGUCGCGAGGCAAAAGGACCGAAGGGGUUGAGUAAAU